CCUACGGGUGGCAGCAGUGAGGAAUAUUGGUCAAUGGGCGCUAGCCUGAACCAGCCAAGUAGCGUGAAGGAUGACUGCCCUAUGGGUUGUAAACUUCUUUUAUAUGGGAAUAAAGUGCAGUAUGUAUACUGCUUUUCAUGUACCUUAUGAAUAAGGAUCGGCUAACUCCGUGCCAGCAGCCGCGGUAAUACGGAGGAUCCGAGAGUUAUCCGGAGUUAUUGGGUUUAAAGGGAGCGUAGGCGGGUUGUUAAGUCAGUUGUGAAAGUUUGCGGCUCAAACGUAAAAUUGCAGUUGAUACUGGCAUCAUUGAGUACAGUAGAGGUAGGCGGAAUUCGUGGUGUAGCGGUGAAAUGCUUAGAUAUCACGAAGAACUCCGAUUGCGAAGGCAGCCUGCUGGACUGUAACUGACGCUGAUGCUCGAAAGUGUGGGGAUCAAACAGGAUUAGAUACCCGGGUAGUC
rnacentral:rRNA from 1 species